UACGGGGGGGGCAAGCGUUGUUCGGAAUUACUGGGCGUAAAGGGCUCGUAGGCGGCCAACUAAGUCGGACGUGAAAUCCCUCGGCUUAACCGGAGAACUGCGUCCGAUACUGGAUGGCUUGAGUUCGGGAGAGGGAUGCGGAAUUCCAGGUGUAGCGGUGAAAUGCGUAGAUAUCUGGAGGAACACCGGUGGCGAAGGCGGCAUCCUGGACCGACACUGACGCUGAGGAGCGAAAGCCAGGGGAGCAAACGGG
rnacentral:rRNA from 1 species